UACGAAGGGUGCAAACGUUGCUCGGAUUUAUUGGGCGUAAAGCGCACGUAGGCGGCUUGGCACGUCGGAUGUGAAAUCCCUCGGCUCAACCAAGGAAGUGCAUCCGAAACUGCUGAGCUUGAGUACUUAAGAGGAUCGCGGAAUUCCCGGUGUAGAGGUGAAAUUCGUAGAUAUCGGGAGGAACACCAGUGGCGAAGGCGGCGAUCUGGGAAGAUACUGACGCUGAGGUGCGAAAGCGUGGGGAGCAAACAGG
rnacentral:rRNA from 1 species